ensembl:lncRNA
UGACCUAGACUAUAUACAGUAUGGUUUUUAAAAAAUUGAAUUAUGUCUUUCAAAUACAGAUACCAACAGCUUUUAAAUGUUAUUGACUAAUCAGUUUUUUAAUAUUUUAAUAUUAAUAUUACUAAUAUUUUACACAAAUAUGAAUAAUAUAAAAAAUAAUAAUAAUUUUUAAUUAUUUAAUCACCCUCAUCAUUUAAUUUUUUUUUCUUUUUUCUGUGGAACAAUGAUCUUCCAUUCUGCUUUUUCCAUACAAUGAAAGUGAAAGAAAGUCAUACAGGUUUGGAAUGACAUAAGGGGGCCCACCACUCCUUAUCCUGUGCCACCGUCCUGAUGUAAUAUGAGCUGCAUAUGGUCCUGUAACCGCCCACCCCACAAAUGGAAAUUCUAAGCAAGAUUCAUGUUGGCAACUGCACUGCCUCUACUUGCAAAUGUCGUAAAAUGUUCAUCUGUUUCUCAUCUAUGUGAG